GACAGAGGGUGCAAACGUUGUUCGGAAUUACUGGGCGUAAAGCGAGUGUAGGCGGUCUUCUAAGUCGGAUGUGAAAGCCCCGGGCUCAACCCGGGAAGUGCACUCGAAACUGGAAGGCUAGAGUAUCGGAGAGGUUGGUGGAAUUCUCGGUGUAGAGGUGAAAUUCGUAGAUAUCGAGAGGAACACCGGUGGCGAAGGCGGCCAACUGGACGAAUACUGACGCUGAGACUCGAAAGCGUGGGGAGCAAACAGG
rnacentral:rRNA from 1 species